rnacentral:rRNA from 1 species
AGAUAAGGAGCUUGCUCCUUUGAAGUUAGCGGCGGACGGGUGAGUAACACGUGGGUAACCUACCUAUAAGACUGGAAUAACUUCGGGAAACCGGAGCUAAUGCCGGAUAACAUAUAGAACCGCAUGGUUCUAUAGUGAAAGAUGGUUUUGCUAUCACUUAUAGAUGGACCCGCGCCGUAUUAGCUAGUUGGUAAGGUAAAGGCUUACCAAGGCGACGAUACGUAGCCGACCUGAGAGGGUGAUCGGCCACACUGGAACUGAGACACGGUCCAGACUCCUACGGGAGGCAGCAGUAGGGAAUCUUCCGCAAUGGGCGAAAGCCUGACGGAGCAACGCCGCGUGAGUGAUGAAGGUUUUCGGAUCGUAAAACUCUGUUAUUAGGGAAGAACAAAUGCGUAAGUAACUGUGCGCAUCUUGACGGUACCUAAUCAGAAAGCCAC